rnacentral:rRNA from 1 species
AGAGUUUGAUCAUGGCUCAGGAUGAACGCUAGCGGCAGGCCUAAUACAUGCAAGUCGAACGGUAGAUUGCUUUCGGGUAAUUGAGAGUGGCGAACGGGUGCGUAACGCGUAUGCAACCUACCCUAUACAGGGGGAUAGCCCGGAGAAAUCUGGAUUAAUACCCCAUGGUAUCAUUGAGCUGCAUGGUUUAAUGAUUAAAGAUUCAUCGGUAUAGGAUGGGCAUGCGUCUGAUUAGCUAGUUGGCGGUGUAACGGACCACCAAGGCUACGAUCAGUAGGGGUUCUGAGAGGAAGGUCCCCCACACUGGCACUGAGAUACGGGCCAGACUCCUACGGGAGGCAGCAGUAGGGAAUAUUGGGCAAUGGACGAGAGUCUGACCCAGCCAUGCCGCGUGCAGGAAGACGGCGUUCUGCGUUGUAAACUGCUUUUAUCUGGGAAGAAAAUGCCCCUGCGGGGGAAAUUGCCGGUACCAGAUGAAUAAGCACCGGCUAACUCCGUGCCAGCAGCCGCGGUAAUACGGAGGGUGCAAGCGUUGUCCGGAUUUAUUGGGUUUAAAGGGUGCGUAGGCGGCUGUUUAAGUCAGUGGUGAAAGACUCCGGCUCAACCGGAGCAGUGCCAUUGAUACUGGACAGCUUGAGUAUUGGAGGGGUACAUGGAAUUGAUGGUGUAGCGGUGAAAUGCAUAGAUACCAUCAGGAACACCGAUAGCGAAGGCAUUGUACUGGCCAAUAACUGACGCUGAUGCACGAAAGCAUGGGUAGCGAACAGGAUUAGAUACCCUAGUAGUCC